rnacentral:rRNA from 1 species
GUGGGGAAUAUUGGACAAUGGGGGCAACCCUGAUCCAGCCAUGCCGCGUGAGUGAUGAAGGCCUUCGGGUUGUAAAGCUCUUUUGGCGGGGACGAUGAUGACGGUACCCGCAGAAUAAGCCCCGGCUAACUUCGUGCCAGCAGCCGCGGUAAGACGAAGGGGGCUAGCGUUGUUCGGAAUUACUGGGCGUAAAGCGCGUGUAGGCGGUUUGCCAAGUUGGGUGUGAAAGCCUUGAGCUCAACUCAAGAAAUGCACUCAGUACUGGCAGACUAGAGGACCGGAGAGGAUAGUGGAAUUCCCAGUGUAGUGGUGAAAUACGUAGAGAUUGGGAAGAACACCAGUGGCGAAGGCGGCUAUCUGGACGGUUUCUGACGCUAAGACGCGAAAGCGUGGGGAGCAAACAGGAUUAGAAACCCUAGUAGUCC